UUUCACGGCUGAAUUAGAGAUUGGCUGUGAACCUUUAAACACUCUACUGGAGUAAUACCAUGUCUCUAAAUGCUGAGAUCAAAGCUCAAAUCGUUGCUGACAACGCUCGUUGCGCC
rfam:Aeromonas hydrophila subsp. hydrophila ATCC 7966, complete genome.